rnacentral:rRNA from 1 species
AGUGAACGCCGGCGGUAGGCCUAACACAUGCAAGUCGAACGGCAGCACAGUAAGAGCUUGCUCUUACGGGUGGCGAGUGGCGGACGGGUGAGGAAUACAUCGGAAUCUACUUUUUCGUGGGGGAUAACGUAGGGAAACUUACGCUAAUACCGCAUACGACCUACGGGUGAAAGCAGGGGAUCUUCGGACCUUGCGCGAUUGAAUGAGCCGAUGUCGGAUUAGCUAGUUGGCGCGGUAAAGGCCCACCAAGGCGACGAUCCGUAGCUGGUCUGAGAGGAUGGUCAGCCACACUGGAACUGACACACGGUCCAGCCUCCUACGGGCGGCAGCAAUGGGUAGUGUUGGGCAAUGGGCGCAAGCCUGAGCCAUCCAUGCCGCGUGGAUGAAGAAGGCCUUCGGGUUGUAUAGCCCUUUUGUUGGGAAAGAAAAGCAGCAGGUUAAUACCCCGCUGUUCUGACGGUACCCAAAGAAUAAGCACCGGCUAACUUCGU